GCCCUGGUAGCUUAUCCUAAAGCAUUGGUCUUGUAAACCAAAGAUUGUGAAGUAACACUCACCCAGGGCU
rnacentral:tRNA from 1 species